GAUGAACGCUGGCGGCGUGCCUAAUACAUGCAAGUCGAGCGAACGGACGAGAAGCUUGCUUCUCUGAUGUUAGCGGCGGACGGGUGAGUAACACGUGGAUAACCUACCUAUAAGACUGGGAUAACUUCGGGAAACCGGAGCUAAUACCGGAUAAUAUUUUGAACCGCAUGGUUCAAAAGUGAAAGACGGUCUUGCUGUCACUUAUAGAUGGAUCCGCGCUGCAUUAGCUAGUUGGUAAGGUAACGGCUUACCAAGGCAACGAUGCAUAGCCGACCUGAGAGGGUGAUCGGCCACACUGGAACUGAGACACGGUCCAGACUCCUACGGGAGGCAGCAGUAGGGAAUCUUCCGCAAUGGGCGAAAGCCUGACGGAGCAACGCCGCGUGAGUGAUGAAGGUCUUCGGAUCGUAAAACUCUGUUAUUAGGGAAGAACAUAUGUGUAAGUAACUGUGCACAUCUUGACGGUACCUAAUCAGAAAGCCACGGCUAACUACGUGCCAGCAGCCGCGGUAAUACGUAGGUGGCAAGCGUUAUCCGGAAUUAUUGGGCGUAAAGCGCGCGUAGGCGGUUUUUUAAGUCUGAUGUGAAAGCCCACGGCUCAACCGUGGAGGGUCAUUGGAAACUGGAAAACUUGAGUGCAGAAGAGGAAAGUGGAAUCCCAUGUGUAGCGGUGAAAUGCGCAGAGAUAUGGAGGAACACCAGUGGCGAAGGCGACUUUCUGGUCUGUAACUGACGCUGAUGUGCGAAAGCGUGGGGAUCAAACAGGAUUAGAUACCCUGGUAGUCCACGCCGUAAACGAUGAGUGCUAAGUGUUAGGGGGUUUCCGCCCCUUAGUGCUGCAGCUAACGCAUUAAGCACUCCGCCUGGGGAGUACGACCGCAAGGUUGAAACUCAAAGGAAUUGACGGGGACCCGCACAAGCGGUGGAGCAUGUGGUUUAAUUCGAAGCAACGCGAAGAACCUUACCAAAUCUUGACAUCCUUUGACAACUCUAGAGAUAGAGCCUUCCUCUUCGGGGGACAAAGUGACAGGUGGUGCAUGGUUGUCGUCAGCCCGUGUCGUGAGAUGUUGGGUUAAGUCCCGCAACGAGCGCAACCCUUAAGCUUAGUUGCCAUCAUUAAGUUGGGCACUCUAAGUUGACUGCCGGUGACAAACCGGAGGAAGGUGGGGAUGACGUCAAAUCAUCAUGCCCCUUAUGAUUUGGGCUACACACGUGCUACAAUGGACAAUACAAAGGGCAGCGAAACCGCGAGGUCAAGCAAAUCCCAUAAAGUUGUUCUCAGUUCGGAUUGUAGUCUGCAACUCGACUACAUGAAGCUGGAAUCGCUAGUAAUCGUAGAUCAGCAUGCUACGGUGAAUACGUUCCCGGGUCU
rnacentral:rRNA from 1 species